CCUACGGGUGGCAGCAGUGGGGAAUAUUGGACAAUGGGCGAAAGCCUGAUCCAGCCAUGCCGCGUGUGUGAAGAAGGCCUUCGGGUUGUAAAGCACUUUCAGUGGGGAAGAAAGCCUUGGGGCUAAUACCCUCGAGGAAGGACAUCACCCACAGAAGAAGCACCGGCUAACUCCGUGCCAGCAGCCGCGGUAAUACGGAGGGUGCGAGCGUUAAUCGGAAUUACUGGGCGUAAAGCGCGCGUAGGCGGUCUGAUAAGCCGGUUGUGAAAGCCCCGGGCUCAACCUGGGAACGGCAUCCGGAACUGUCAGGCUAGAGUGCAGGAGAGGAAGGUAGAAUUCCCGGUGUAGCGGUGAAAGGCGUAGAGAUCGGGAGGAAUACCAGUGGCGAAGGCGGCCUUCUGGACUGACACUGACGCUGAGGUGCGAAAGCGUGGGUAGCAAACAGGAUUAGAUACCCGUGUAGU
rnacentral:rRNA from 1 species